rnacentral:rRNA from 1 species
UACGGGGGGGGCAAGCGUUGUUCGGAAUUACUGGGCGUAAAGCGUGCGCAGGCGGUUUUGUAAGCCAGAUGUGAAAUCCCCGGGCUUAACCUGGGAAUGGCAUUUGGGACUGCAAGGCUCGAGUGCGGCAGAGGAGACUGGAAUUCCUGGUGUAGCAGUGAAAUGCGUAGAUAAUCAGGAGGAACACCGAUGGCGAAGGCAGGUCUCUGGGCUGACACUGACGCUCAUGCACGAAAGCGUGGGAGCAAACGAGG